rnacentral:rRNA from 1 species
UGAAAGAGAACCUGAAACCCUGCGUUUACAAGCAGAGAAAGCACGUUAAAAGUGCGAUCUCGUACUUUUUGUAGAACGGACCGGCGAGUUACGUUGUGUAGCAAGGUUAAGGACUGAAGGUCUGAAGCCGCAGCGAGAGCGAGUCUGAAUAGGGCGACAAGAGUUGCAUGACGUAGACCCGAAACCGGGUGACCUACCCAUGAGCAAGGUGAAGUGGUGGUAAAACACCAUGGAGGCCUGAACGCACGUCCAUUGAAAAGGGCGGCGAUGACUUGUGGGUAGCGGAGAAAUUCCAAUCGAACUCAGAAAUAGCUGGUUCUCCUCGAAAUAGCUUUAGGGCUAGCCUCGAUUAAAAGAUUGGCGGAGGUAGAGCACUGAAUGAGCUAGGGGGCCACAAAGCUUACCGAACUCUAUCAAACUUCGAAUGCCGCACAAUCGUUCAUCGGGAGUCAGACGGCGGGAGAUAAGUUUCGUCGUCAAAAGGGAAACAGCCCAGAUCAACAGCUAAGGUCCCCAAGUACGUGUUAAGUGGGAAAGGAUGUGCAACCGCAUAGACAACCAGGAUGUUGGCUUAGAAGCAGCCACUCAUUAAAAGAGUGCGUAAUAGCUCACUGGUCGAGUAGUUGUGCGCCGAAGAUGUAACGGGGCUAAAACACGUCACCGAAGCUUUGGAAUUGCCGCAAGGCAAUUGGUAGAGGAGCAUUGUGUGCUGGGAGAAGCAGUACCGAGAGGAGCUGUGGACGGCACAGAAGAGAGAAUGCCGGUAUAAGUAGCGCGAGGCAUGCGAGAAACAUGCCCGUCGAUAGCCUAAGGUUUCCUGGGGAAGGCUCGUCCGCCCAGGGUAAGUCGGGACCUAAGCCGAGGACGGAAGUCGUAGGCGAUGGACAGCAGGCAGAGAUUCCUGCACUACCGAAGAUCGUUUGAGUGAAGCAGUGACACAGAAGGAUAGCCUGAGCAGGGUAAUGGUCAUCCCUGUACAAGCGGUGAGGCUGGUGAGUAGUGAAGUACGCUCACUAAGGCUGGGCCGUGAUGUGGAGUGAAAUUAGAAGUAGCGAAGCAGGUGAUUUCACACUGGCGAGAAAAGCUGCUGGCGAGAUCGGAGGUACCCGUACCGCAAACCGACACAGGUAGGCAAGGAGAGAAUCCUAAGACGAACGGGAGAACACUUGUUAAGGAACUCGGCAAAAUGACCCCGUAACUUCGGGAGAAGGGGUGCUGCAGAGAUGCAGCCGCAGAGAAGAGUCCCAAGCGACUGUUUAGCAAAAACACAGGUAUCUGCGAAAGCGAGAGCUGACGUAUAGGUGCUGACACCUGCCCGGUGCUGGAAGGUUAAGGGAACAUGUUAGAGCAAUCGAAGCAUCGAACCGAAGCCCCAGUAAACGGCGGCCGUAACUAUAACGGUCCUAAGGUAGCGAAAUUCCUUGUCGGGUAAGUUCCGACCCG